AAUGUUGCAGUUCUCUGUCCUCUGAUCUCCUAAAUUAGUCGUUUAGAAGACAUUCUCAAUUGAGUUUAUCAAUAAAUUUCAGUCAUUUUUGCUCUUCUUUUUGAAGUAACUUCACGUCUCAAGGUAUUGGAACAGGAAAGCAAAUUUCAGUUUGAUAUAUGAGAGGUUAAAGAUUUUUUUCAAUUGACUGCAGGUAAUAUGCCUUGUAGUCGUGCUGAAAGUUUGUCAAUGCAAUUAUGUUGUAACUAUUACAAUAUCAACAGGUCAAAAGAGUCUGACGUAACUAAACAUGUUUAGUAUUUUCAGCUUGCUUUUUUCUUCGCGUUCUAAUUGGUAUAUAGACAAAAGUAAAACCAGUGUGACUGUCAGUAAACCGUAGCUUCCUUGAAUGCUUGAACUUAUUCCGGAAGCCAUACGGACGAGCUACGUAGAGAUGCUAUUUUGUGAUCUUGUAACUGAUAACAACUAAAGAUUCAGUGAUAUGGUGUUGUUCAUUUGGAUAUAGAUGGGAAAAAAAUCAAGAAGAUCGUUGAGAUCAAGUAACGAAAUGUGGGAGAGAAAAAUAAAAAUUCGUUGAGCUUUGUCCAAGUACUAAACUCGAUUCUCAAAUUCAGGUUGUCCUUUACCUGGUUGAACCUCUUCUGACUCUUGAUAACCAAACAUCUCAUAACAAACUGUGCCAGCAACAAGGAUAAGUUAUAAUAUCAACUGUCCUAAUAAAGGAGCAUGCUGGCUUCCUAAUCUGCCUUUUGCUACACUUCUUUUACUCGAUAAGCUGGAAAAUAGGAUUCCAUAAGAUCUCAUAGGAACAUGGAGAGCCAUGCAUGCUUUGAUACCACCUUUGUUUGUAACACCGCCCAUCAGAAUUAAAUCAAAGUUAAUUAGCUUGUCGUGUAACAAUCAAACAAGGACAUACACGAGGAAUUAGAGAACUUUAACCAGAUCGAAGGUGAUACCACCAUGCCCAAACAUUUGACCCGGACAGAGAACAUGUUUCCUAACGAUUCCAAAUUAAGACUUUUCAAUCCGAAUUUGAAACCCUUAGUUGGUUCAUCGUGGACUAGGAAUAAUAUCAUAUGGAACACAAGCAUUUUUUCGCAAACCUUUAUUAUUCAUAUAAUACUUAGGUUCAAAUAACAUCAAACAUAUAUAGGGUGCACCAGUUUCAAAUGUAUUACAUAGUACAAUACAUACUCCUUCGCAAAAGGAACAUACACUACGCCAGCAGAACUGCUCCUUUGCAAUCCGAGAUACCCCUAUGGUUCUAAUGAACAACUAAUCUUCGCAGUGAAUGAAGGUUCCAUAAUAAUUUAAUCAUCCCCUAACUAUGCAUGCAUCAAUCAUCAAGCAGCAAAGAUAAAUUAUUUCAAAUAAUAUGCAAUGCAAAUAUAAAGUAAUCAAGUAAUCCAGUCAUCUACUCUUCACGAAUGGUUAAAUCAUCAUCGAUCUUCGAGGCUUGCUCCUUGCCAUUAGUAAUACACCUUUCCCACCCACAUCGGCUCUAUACAUGAAGUCUCAAAAGCCAAAUGAAAAGGAAAUUUCAUAUCCCUUCUUGCGUCUAUUGACUCUAGACACUGUAAUACCCCGUCUUCAUGAGGAAUAAUUAUUUUUAAAUAAAUAAUUUAAAUAAUUUAUUUUAGAGAAUUUAUUACGAGUUCGUAAUUUAUUCUCGAAAAUAAAAGUUUAUGAAGAUAGAAUACGGAGCGCAAAAUAGUAUCGACGGAAAGUGGAAUUGUCAGAAUUUUGACUAGUUAUACAAUGUCAUUGAAAGUAAGUCAAUAGCUUAAUUGGAUAAUUAAGCAAUUUUUUUAAGGAGUAAAAUGACCAAUGAGAAUGGAGUCUUGGCCACCAAGUUUGGUUAAUUAAUCAUUCUUAAGAAAAAUGAGAAGGAGGACAUGUCAAAUAAGAAGAAAAGUUGAUGAUUAAUUUAAUUCUCAUGCACAAAUGUAUGCCCACGUGGUUAAAGAAUGAAGCAGGAAAAGAAGUAAGUGAUUACUCAUAGUUCUAAUGAGUACGUGGCCUUGUUAUAAAAGAAACAAGUGAUGCUUUGAAGAUUAGUCAUAUGAACGUGGCAUGAAGCACAUGAUGCCUUUGAAGCUUAGUCAUAUUUUCUUAAAUGUGGCUAAUGGAUAGUGUGACAGAUGUCAUAAUGUUAUACAUCAAGGUUGUCUAUAAAAGGAGGCUGAACUUUCUCCAUUUUCUCACAACAUCAACGACCAAGAGAGAAGAAGAGAAAGGAAGAAAAAAAAAAAAUUAAAAAAAGAAAGAAAAAAGAAAAAGAAAAAUAAGGUAUAUAGUAUUAGAGAGUUACUGAAAGAAUCAAGAUGAGUUAAACUACGAAAUUACGGGGUUAAUAUCACGGAGCCAAGACGAAGGUUCCUGACAUCGGAAACGGUUAUUGAGCUAUGAAAGCCAGACAGUCUAGGUGUCAGUUGUGGUUCUGAGGGUUGAGAUAAUGUUUGGGCUAAGUGGAUAACAAGACUAGUCUAAGCACUCGAGUUAUUGUGACUGUGUGAUUACUGUAUGUUGUUAUUGUAUGUACCUCGUGUUUUACUAUUGUGUGAGAACCUCGUGGUAGUUUUAAUAGUUUGGAAUGGAUAAAAAGGUUUUUUUCAACUUUCAGAAUCAGAAAGUCAAGCCACAUCGGUUAAUCACUGUGAGUCACGGUUAAUUGUUUGUUAACGAAUUUUUAAUGCAGGUUCCUGACAUCGGAAACGGUUCUUGAGCUAUGAAAGCCAGACCAGUCUAGGUGUCAGUUGUGGUUCUGAGGCUUGAGAUAAUGUUUGGGCUAAGUGGAUAACAAGACUAGUCUAAGCACUCGAGUUAUUGUGACUGUGUGAUUACUGUAUGUUGUUAUUGUAUGUACCUCGUGUUUGUACUAUUGUGUGAGAACCUCGUGGUAGUUCUAAUAGUUGCAGGUCAUUGCUUCAUCAAAUGGUACCACUAAGCCGGUUGUGGUCCGGAAAGUGGUGGGCUCAUUUUAACUUGGCUUGAUCACCAAGGCCGAUUGUCACAUGUGGAUGUGACAGCCCUCGGCAAGUCCGAUAGAGGACCAGGGCACGGCGAUUCCGAUUGAGGACCGUGACCGGGCAAUUCCCGAGCACCUACGCCUGUGUGGUGUAAUAGUGAAGGGAUUGCAGGUGUCCCUUGUGUGGAGGAAGAAUUAUGUGCUGACACUCGUAAAUAAUGUUUUGAUUUAUUAUUGUUUAAUUGAUUCCUGUUUUAAUAUUCAUGCUUAAUAUUUGAACAUUGAUUGUUGAACUACCUGUCUUGCUUGUUUUUGGGGUUGAGUUUGAGAUGACGGGUAGUUGUACAUGCUAGAUAUGGAACCCUGGCUCACUGGGUGAAACUAGUUCACUCACUCCUCACGAUCUCUUGCAGGUGACCAGUAGGAAGAACCGUAGCUAUCGCAGAACUGUAGGAGCUGGUGUAGAUUGGACAUCUUUUGCUAAUCACUCGUUUCAAUAUAUAAGAAUGUUGCAAAGCCUAAGACUGAAGAUUAGAGGAAACAAGUAAUGAAUGGAUAUUUUGGGUUACAGAAUCAUGUUUUGUGACUUUAAAAGUCUAUUCUCAACCCGUUGUAACAUUUCCAGACUU